rnacentral:sRNA from 1 species
GUUUAGCCCUGAUUGAAACGGCAUCCUUUUUAUGCUUAACUUGUUUUAGUUUCAGUUAAAUUAUAAAAAUGAUUUUGAUAAAAGAAGCAGAUGCUGAAGUAAAUUAAGCAUAAAAAGAUAUAGUGGAAAGCAGGAAAUAGC